rnacentral:rRNA from 1 species
CAGGAUGGCCAUGCCACCCUGAGCAUGCCCGAUCCCGUCUGAUCUUGAAAGCUAAGCAGGGUCGGGCCUGGUUAGUACAUGGAUGGGAGACCACCUAGGAAUACCAAGUGCUGUAGGCA